CUGCCCGUAGCAGGGGGGUAAGCGGAAGAAAUUCCGUCUAAUACAGCGUAACAACCCAUGGAGGCAUCUCCUCGGGUUUAAAGGAAGCGAUUCCGGCUACGGAUGGUCAUGCGUCGCAUUAGCUUGUUGGCGGGGUAACGGCCCACCAAGGCGACGAUGCGUAGGGGUUCUGAGAGGAAGGUCCCCCACACUGGUACUGAGACACGGACCAGACUCCUACGGGAGGCAGCAGUGAGGAAUAUUGGUCAAUGGCCGCAGGGCUGAACCAGCCAAGUCGCGUGAGGGAUGACGGUCCUAUGGAUUGUAAACCUCUUUUGUCAGGGAGCAAAGGGCGCCACGUGUGGCGCUUUGCGAGUACCUGAAGAAAAAGCAUCGGCUAACUCCGUGCCAGCAGCCGCGGUAAUACGGAGGAUGCGAGCGUUAUCCGGAUUUAUUGGGUUUAAAGGGUGCGCAGGCGGAAUGUCAAGUCAGCGGUAAAAUUUCGGGGCUCAACCCCGUCGUGCCGUUGAAACUGGCGUUCUUGAGUGAGCGAGAAGUAUGCGGAAUGCGUGGUGUAGCGGUGAAAUGCAUAGAUAUCACGCAGAACUCCGAUUGCGAAGGCAGCAUACCGGCGCUCAACUGACGCUCAUGCACGAAAGCGUGGGUAUCGAACAGGAUUAGAUACCCUGGUAGUCCACGCAGUAAACGAUGA
rnacentral:rRNA from 1 species